UGGAAUCAUUCUGCAACAAGCUCUACAGAGUUAAGCAUCGCAUUCUAAAUAUAAAUUCUAAAACUCAAAUUCGAAUUUUCAAAAUGAAUUUCAACAAGUUGUUCUUCUUUGCUUGUGUCUGCGUCAUGGCUUUGACUACAGUAUUUGCUGCGCCGAAUCCGCGGUGGAAUCCUUUUAAGAAACUGGAAAAGGUCGGCAGGAAUAUCCGUGAUGGAAUAAUCAAGGCGGGACCAGCUGUUCAGGUGGUGGGUGAUGCCGCAACCAUCUACAGAGGUUGAAAAUAACCACCGUUGUCUUCAUAUAAAAUCACAAUCAUCACUGAUUCCAGUAUACACCAUUUAAGUUUAUUUUAAGUUAUACCUCCGAAAAGGAAAGAGAUGUGUAAUCAACAGUCAUAAAAUUUGUGAAAAUCAAUUUUAUGCAUAAAUUUAAAAAACCCUUUCAAGUUUUAUAUUGGCCAAUAACUCGACAGAAUUAAGUUGACAACACACGCCAAACGGGCUGCAUACCAGCGAGUUGCCCAUUUUAUUCGCUCGGGCUGUUCAUUCAUUUUAAAAUUUACAGUUGUUAAUCAUUCGUCCCUUUCCUUUUUCACUUAAAAUGAAAUUAGGAGGUGUCUGCAGGAAUCCGUGCCAUUAUGCUACUUCGUCAAACCUUCUGGUUUCAUAGUUAAUAAACCGACAUAGUUCUCUGUUGCCUAUAGCUUAAUUUAAAUAAGAUCGACUGAAUGUUAAAGAGAUUAUCUAACUUAUUGUAAAUAUGAUUUAUGUAAUUUAUUGUAUUUCUAAGUGCCAUUAAAUAAACGUAAGAUAAGAAA